UGGGGAAUUUUGGACAAUGGGCGAAAGCCUGAUCCAGCAAUGCCGCGUGUGUGAAGAAGGCCUUCGGGUUGUAAAGCACUUUUGUCCGGAAAGAAAUCCUUGGCUCUAAUACAGUCGGGGGAUGACGGUACCGGAAGAAUAAGCACCGGCUAACUACGUGCCAGCAGCCGCGGUAAUACGUAGGGUGCAAGCGUUAAUCGGAAUUACUGGGCGUAAAGCGUGCGCAGGCGGUUUGCCAAGACCGAUGUGAAAUCCCCGGGCUCAACCUGGGAACUGCAUUGGUGACUGGCAGGCUAGAGUAUGGCAGAGGGGGGUAGAAUUCCACGUGUAGCAGUGAAAUGCGUAGAGAUGUGGAGGAAUACCGAUGGCGAAGGCAGCCCCCUGGGCCAAUACUGACGCUCAUGCACGAAAGCGUGGGGAGCAAACAGGAUUAGAUACCCUGGUAGUCCACGCCCUAAAACGAUGUCAACUAGUUGUUGGGGAUUCAUUUCCUUAGUAACGUAGCUAACGCGUGAAGUUGACCGCCUGGGGAGUACGGUCGCAAGAUUAAAACUUAAAUGAAUUGACGGGGUCAUAGCUGUUUCCU
rnacentral:rRNA from 1 species